rnacentral:rRNA from 1 species
UACGUAGGGGGCUAGCGUUGUCCGGAUUUAUUGGGCGUAAAGAGCGUGUAGGCGGCCAGGUAGGUCUGGUGUGAAAACUCGAGGCUUAACCUCGAGAUGUCAUCGGAAACCAUUUGGCUAGAGUCCGGAAGAGGAGAGUGGAAUUCCUGGUGUAGCGGUGGAAUGCGUAGAGAUCCGGAAGAACACCGGUGGCGAAGGCGGUGAGCUGGGCAGUUGCUGACACUGAGGCGCGACAGCGUGGGGAGCAAACAGG